CCGCGUAAUUAGCCCCAGCGCCUCGACACCUCCCCGCGGCCGGCGCGGAGCCCUGAAGUCCAUUACCCUCGCCGUCCCACUUACUUGGAUCGAUCUGCGGUUUCUCUCCGUUUGCCUCACUUUCUCCAUUGCUUUCAGAGAAUGCGCCUUCGUGGCUUUGCUUAUCCCUAUCAACUGGAGGAGAACCACAAGCAUAAUCAGAGAGAGACAAAGUCGGACUAUUUUAUAUCAAAAUUAAUCAUCCCAUCAGUGGGUCGUGUUCUCCGCGGAAAAAAAUCCCGCCACCCUUGUGAUCGGAGACCUUCACAUAAAACGAUACAAUAACCGAAGCAAUAAAAAGAGCAAAAUAGUA